GUGCUCACUUCAGCAGCACAUACACUAGAAUUGAAACCAUUAAGAGAACGUUAGCCCGGUCCCUGUGCAGGGGUGACGUGCAAGUUCAGGAAGUGCUCCAUGUUUUU
rnacentral:snRNA from 1 species